AGCAUUUGACAAGCUUGAGUGGUCAGUUUUUAAUCAAGUAAACAUUUUUAAAAUGUUUCAAGGAUACAGAAGUGGAAAAUGAGUUUUAAAAAGCAGUGGCCUUGACAAGUUUUCCGAAGAAGUUUAUUUCCGAUUGAAGGAGAUAUCUCCUUAGUGUGAUUCAUCCCAACUGUGCUACACCUUAUCUUAAAAGAGUGUGAAUUUCUUCUGUCAUUUCUCUGCCCUUUGAAAUAGAGAAACAUCUGCAGAAACUGCAGCAGGUACAUCCUCCAGGGAAAGAAGAGUGAAAAUUCAUGACAAGACUGAAAUUGCAAUUAACCGGAUGAUUGGUUCCCACAAAGAACGAAGAUAAAAGAGGAAUAUCAGGCCAAUUACCUGGUGUUGAGUCUACA
rnacentral:lncRNA from 1 species